rnacentral:rRNA from 1 species
AGACCCGAAACCCGGUGAUCUAGCCAUGGGCAGGUUGAAGGUUGGGUAACACUAACUGGAGGACCGAACCGACUAAUGUUGAAAAAUUAGCGGAUGACCUGUGGCUGGGGGUGAAAGGCCAAUCAAACCGGGAGAUAGCUGGUUCUCCCCGAAAGCUAUUUAGGUAGCGCCUCGUGAAUUCAUCUCCGGGGGUAGAGCACUGUUUCGGCUAGGGGGCCAUCCCGGCUUACCAACCCGAUGCAAACUGCGAAUACCGGAGAAUGUUAUCACGGGAGACACACGGCGGGUGCUAACGUCCGUCGUGAAGAGGGAAACAACCCAGACCGCCAGCUAAGGUCCCAAAGUCAUGGUUAAGUGGGAAACGAUGUGGGAAGGCCCAGACAGCCAGGAUGUUGGCUUAGAAGCAGCCAUCAUUUAAAGAAAGCGUAAUAGCUCACUGGUCGAGUCGGCCUGCGCGGAAGAUGUAACGGGGCUAAACCAUGCACCGAAGCUGCGGCAGCGACACUGUGUGUUGUUGGGUAGGGGAGCGUUCUGUAAGCCUGUGAAGGUGUGUCGUGAGGCAUGCUGGAGGUAUCAGAAGUGCGAAUGCUGACAUAAGUAACGAUAAAGCGGGUGAAAAGCCCGCUCGCCGGAAGACCAAGGGUUCCUGUCCAACGUUAAUCGGGGCAGGGUGAGUCGACCCCUAAGGCGAGGCCGAAAGGCGUAGUCGAUGGGAAACGGGUUAAUAUUCCCGUACUUGGUGUUACUGCGAAGGGGGGACGGAGAAGGCUAUGUUGGCCGGGCGACGGUUGUCCCGGUUUAAGCGUGUAGGCUGGUUUUCCAGGCAAAUCCGGAAAAUCAAGGCUGAGGCGUGACGACGAGGCACUACGGUGCUGAAGCAACAAAUGCCCUGCUUCCAGGAAAAGCCUCUAAGCAUCAGGUAACACGAAAUCGUACCCCAAACCGACACAGGUGGUCAGGUAGAGAAUACCAAGGCGCUUGAGAGAACUCGGGUGAAGGAACUAGGCAAAAUGGUGCCGUAACUUCGGGAGAAGGCACGCUGAUAUGUAGGUGAAGCGGUUUACCCGUGGAGCUGAAAUCAGUCGAAGAUACCAGCUGGCUGCAACUGUUUAUUAAAAACACAGCACUGUGCAAACACGAAAGUGGACGUAUACGGUGUGACGCCUGCCCGGUGCCGGAAGGUUAAUUGAUGGGGUCAGCGCAAGCGAAGCUCCUGAUCGAAGCCCCGGUAAACGGCGGCCGUAACUAUAACGGUCCUAAGGUAGCGAAAUUCCUUGUCGGGUAAGUUCCGACCUGCACGAAUGGCGUAAUGAUGGCCAGGCUGUCUCCACCCGAGACUCAGUGAAAUUGAACUCGCUGUGAAGAUGCAGUGUACCCGCGGCAAGACGGAAAGACCCCGUGAACCUUUACUAUAGCUUGACACUGAACAUUGAGCCUUGAUGUGUAGGAUAGGUGGGAGGCUUUGAAGUGUGGACGCCAGUCUGC